rnacentral:misc_RNA from 1 species
AUUUCAAACAACAUCAACACACAAGGAUAUAUGUAAGUUUCAGCUAAUUGAAGAGGGAAAAGGCCACUAGGUCAAUUGGUUUGCUUCACUGACCCUUGUUAAGUUUAUGAUAAGCUUUAUCCAUUUUAUUUUUUUAUAAUCAAUUCAAUAGCAUGUUAAUUAUUUCCUCUCUAUUUAAGCCCCCUUUUUCUUUGCUCCAAAACCUAAACCUUUCUCUCUCACUCUCUCCUUUCUUUUCUAUUUGCUCACUCAUUAUAAUUACCAUGGAAGACAUAAUGAGGCCACACUCAUGUCACCCUACUUCAGCUCCUUCAAAGCUAGCCAUGCACAGAGAUUCGCAUGUAAUUUCCAAAUUCAAGCCCAAGGUUCGCAUAAUUCACAUAUUUGCACCAGAGAUCAUCAAGACUGAUGUUGAAAACUUUAGAGAGCUUGUUCAAAGACUCACUGGCAAACCUGGUGAUGGUGACAGCACUAAAGGCAGCAGCAGGAGGAAGAAAACAAGAAAGAUAAAGAACAAGACUAAUUUCUCUUGUGAGUCAAGCAAGAGAGCCCUGCGAUUCCAAGAUGGGCUGCCUAGUCUGAAACUUAAAAUGGAGGAUGAAAAUAAUGAGAUACGGGAAAGUAGUGAGAAUUCAAGUGAUUUCCUUGAAGGGUUUGCAGACUUCAGUGGCUUUAUACAUGAUUUGAGUGAUAACUUUUCCUCGGCACCUCCACAGUCUUCUCACAUGGAUAUGUUUGGAGACAUGCAACUUGCUUAACAGAAUGUGGGUUCAUUUCUCUGGGUUUUUCUCUCCUGAUAAUAUAUAUGUUGACUCUUAUCUCGCAAGAGGAUAUCAGGCCGCUUGUUUGUGGCUUCUUUAGUUCAAGCACCUCAAUCUUCUCAUAUGGAUGGGGGCCGGCUCAGGAUACAUCUAUACAUUCAAGUUGAGGGGAAGCAUUGAUAUUGAACUUGUAUUUUUUAUUUGGAAGUCUUAAAUGACCUGUGGAAUAUAUCUAUAUAUUUAACUUGCUUGCACGCUAAUUUAAUCUAGCUAAUUAUAUUAUGCAUUAAAAACGAAUAAAAGAAAAAGAAUGAAGAGGAUGAGAAGAACAACUGAAACCGUUGAUCUAAGAAGCGCUCAAGAUUUGGGGUCUUUCAGGAGCACUGACCUCAUCUUCCAUUGACUUGAACUUGCAGAGACAUGGAAAUCCCAACUUCAGCAGUUGAAGUACUGAAAAAUAAUAUUACAAACCCAGGGAAAGAGGAUCAAAAUAAAAUUGUUCUUUCAUACCUGAGAACUGGGACGUCCUUGAAAUGACUUCCAAACCAACCAGUUUACCCCUUAAACAUUCUGUUGAGAAAAGGUUACAGCAUCAAUGUAAAACUGAUGAAAGCUUUGGCCCUGAAUCAUGACUUGUACCACAUUAAUCUGUAUAAGCUUACAGAACAUAGAAAAGAGUAAGGAAUUUAAUGCAUUUUUCACUAAAAUUCAUUCAUUACAACCUUUGGAUAGAAGCACACACAAAAAACUAGUCUGUGAUUGUUUACAUCGCACAUUUCCUGAAUUCCUGUUGCCAUAGAACAGUGGGGGAAUAGGAUGGAUUAUGAGGAAGAUGGCGAGCAGCAACAUAGCUUCCAUAUUAAUACAGUGACAUCAACUGAAUAAGAUAAUGAAAUGGGACCAGUUCACUGUACCACCAAAUGUAAACUGCAAGCAAUUGUCAGGGUGAAAAUUAAUUAUACACUUCAAAAAGACAAUCUUACAAUUGGGCUUCCUAAAUAUGAAAGCAACUUUAAGUUGUCUUCAACAAAAAGAGAGAUUAUCAAGCUAAAUGACCUUACUUCAAUGGCUCUUCUGGAUUAAGAACCAAAUAUGCUGUC